rnacentral:rRNA from 1 species
GGAUCCAGACUUGAUCAUGGCUCAGGAUGAACGCUAGCUACAGGCUUAACACAUGCAAGUCGAGGGGAAACGAUAGAGAAAGCUUGCUUUUUCUAGGCGUCGACCGGCGCACGGGUGAGUAACGCGUAUCCAACCUGCCCACCACUUGGGGAUAACCUUGCGAAAGUAAGACUAAUACCCAAUGAUAUCUCUAGAAGACAUCUGAAGGAGAUUAAAGAUUUAUCGGUGAUGGAUGGGGAUGCGUCUGAUUAGCUUGUUGGCGGGGUAACGGCCCACCAAGGCGACGAUCAGUAGGGGUUCUGAGAGGAAGGUCCCCCACAUUGGAACUGAGACACGGUCCAAACUCCUACGGGAGGCAGCAGUGAGGAAUAUUGGUCAAUGGGCGAGAGCCUGAACCAGCCAAGUAGCGUGCAGGAUGACGGCCCUAUGGGUUGUAAACUGCUUUUAUAAGGGAAUAAAGUGAGCCUCGUGAGGCUUUUUGCAUGUACCUUAUGAAUAAGGACCGGCUAAUUCCGUGCCAGCAGCCGCGGUAAUACGGAAGGUCCGGGCGUUAUCCGGAUUUAUUGGGUUUAAAGGGAGCGUAGGCCGGAGAUUAAGCGUGUUGUGAAAUGUAGAUGCUCAACAUCUGCACUGCAGCGCGAACUGGUUUCCUUGAGUACGCACAAAGUGGGCGGAAUUCGUGGUGUAGCGGUGAAAUGCUUAGAUAUCACGAAGAACUCCGAUUGCGAAGGCAGCUCACUGGAGCGCAACUGACGCUGAAGCUCGAAAGUGCGGGUAUCGAACAGGAUUAGAUACCCUGGUAGUCCGCACGGUAAACGAUGGAUGCCCGCUGUUGGUCUGAAUAGGUCAGCGGCCAAGCGAAAGCAUUAAGCAUCCCACCUGGGGAGUACGCCGGCAACGGUGCAACUCAAAGGAAUUGACGG